GUUUUGGAGCCGAUUUUUCCUCGGUGGUUAUUUUUGCAGCUUCUCAUGUCAUUCUGUCUGGGGUGAAAAUCUUCAGCCGUCGCUGAAACAAAACUUGUCCGACUGAAAAACAGGACCGUAUCUAAAAUUUGAAUGGGAGCUGCUCUGUCGGUCCAUCCGAUGUGUGCCACUGUAUCUCUAGAAAUUAGUAUUGAAUCAUGGUGUGAGGUUUUCUGGUGAGUCCUAAAAUGAGCUAUGAACUUGCUCACCUUGGAGCCACCCAGAAAAACAAAGGCCCACGUAGGACGUAAGGAUGUGGUCUGAGCUGGUGUAACUAGAGCUUCACUGGAAAGGCCGAGCUUCAUGAGAUUAGAGGGCCGUGCCCUUGGCAUCAGGUUCUGUCAUUCUCAGGGAUGUCCUGCCUUUGCCCCUAUAUCUGAGAGCCACUGCACGAACCGUCACUGAGCCUGCAGAGUUGUAUACCUUCACACUGUGAGCUUGGGUGGCCUUUGGCAGACGUGGGGCAGGGGUGACUCCUCCGAACAAAUUGUAAAUUCAAUGUUGCUGAACAUUUCCUUUUCAAAUAAGCUUUUAUUUAUUGAACUUGUAAUAUAUCUUUGGGGCUGGAUGGCCCCUUGUUAGUUAAUGUCACCUCGUGAUUUAAGACUCAUCCCCCUGCUGUAAAGUGCGGAUUCCCUCUGCCCUACCUCGCAGGGCUGUUGUGAGGAUAGAACGGGGAGAAUGGGAAUUGUGGGCGCUGCCUUGGAGUUAGGAUUAUCUCCAAGAUCAUUUUCAUGUAUGCUAUUCAAGGGACUGAAGAGCUGAAAGUAUUUUGUGGGAAGGGCUAGCCCUGAUGCCCCUGGGUGCCUGCCUUCUCCACCCUCGGCUCUCAUUCUUCUUUUCUCAUUUCCUUCUCCUCUACCAUGACAAACCGCUCAGAAGACAGGAUGUCUCACGAGAGAAAAGGCUGGUGAAAGCCUUUUUUUUU